rnacentral:lncRNA from 1 species
GAAAUCAAAGGCCCAAAAACUCAAGAGGAGCAAUCCAACAAGCAAAAAAACCCUAGUCAAUCUAAAACCCUAGCCGGAAAUGGGCCAUUUUUCCACCGCCGGCAACGGCGACUAUCAGCCACCGACAACUCCCAAGCUCCCGAUACCGGGAAAACGGAAUAUCCUCAUUACAAGCGCUUUGCCAUACGUCAACAACGUUCCUCACCUCGGAAACAUCAUCGGAAGUAAUUAAUCUCAGCAAUUCAAUCCUUAUUUCCCUCUCUUUGCUGUGCUUUUGAUGUCUCAUUUUAUAUUCAAAUUAUGUUCUUUUUUUGUUUAUUGUAGGUGUGCUGAGUGCGGACGUGUUCGCGAGAUACUGUAGGCUACGGGAUUACAAUGCAAUAUACAUGUGUGGUACUGAUGAAUAUGGCACGGCUACUGAGACUAAAGCUUUGGAAGAAAAUUCUACUCCCAAGCAAAUUUGUGACAAGUAAUGCACCUUUCUUUUGUAUUAAAUUCAUCAAGUUUUCCUUGGAAUGUGCACUAAGUAAAUCAGUUAAGUGCAUCGCAAUCACAAACUAGUUUAUAUAUAUAUAUUAACAGAGAACGUCAAAAAAAAAAAUUAAAUGCUGAAAAAUUUCCAAUCAAAUAGUAAAUUUUAAAUAUAUUAUAUUAAAUAUUAUUGAUACACUCUAUUCAAGAACUGUGAUCAAUUAAAUUUUUGGAGUAAUUAAACAAAAUAAUAAUAUAUAACAUUAAGACAAGAUCCAAGCACCUAAAAGAUUACAUCGCAGUAUACCAAUUGUAAGUAAGAAUAAUGUCAUAAUAAUAAACAAGUAACAAAAGGAGAAAAGUUUUAAAAAAUUAAAUAUAAAAUAUAGAAUAAUAAGACCUAGUUGAAUUUGAGGUGAAAAAGCAUUUUUUGAAUUUAUUGUGAAAAAAAGUCAUAUAUAAAAUGGACAAUAUCACGUAUCUGAAUCUUAAUAGACAAAUUAAAAAAAUCAAAAAUAUCAAUAUUGAAAAACUUCCAAACAGAAGAGUAUAUAUUAAGUAAAAUAUGUGAAUUUAUCUUAUAGCAAAGUAAAUUAAAUAUAAAACCCAUAACUUAAAUUUCAUGUUAAACAUAAAAGAGAAUGGAAAUUUUUUAUUUGCUUAUUGCAUAUAGCAUAAAAAUAAUAAUUAUUAAAAAUAUAUAACUUAAUGGUAAAGAAAUCAAAUUCAUAAUUUAGUACUGGAUAUUUGUUGAUAUUUAUAAUUUGAAUUAGUUUGGAAAAAUACUAAUAGCUUUAGACUUUUGAAGAUGAACAAUAGAAUAAAAGUUUCAAGAAAAAUUUUAGGAGUAAGAAAUAUAUAUAUUUGUGUUAUAUUAAUAGGCGAGAAACUGAAAAAAAUAUUAAGUGACAAGCUAAUAAAAUGUAAUGAAAUAUUAAGUACAAUCGAUUAUGUAAUAAAAAAUAAUAAUAAACUUAAAAGCUAUUUGUGACUAUAUGAACCUUUUUAUAAUUUUAUAAGAUUUUUUUAUUGGUAUGUCUCAUUGAGUAACAAGAAGAUACUUAGAAUUUAAUUCAAGCAACAUAAUAGAACGAGCUCAAAUAAAUUAGAUUACUUAAUAUAAUUUAAAUUCUGUAAUAUUUUUCGCGUAUUGUGCAAAUACUAAUACUAAUACUACAAUAACAUAUGAAAAUAUGUAAUCGUAUAUAGUAAGUAAUGAUUAGUAAACAAAAAUUUCAGUUAAAUAACUUGAUACAACAUAUUUAACUAUAUCGGUAACGUAAUGCAUACUGUUAGGAUAUAUAAAUUAAUCUUAAAAAAUAAACUAAAAUUAAUUAAACUGUUUAAAAUUGAUUAAAACUUUUUGAAUUGUAGUAGCGAUAAAAGAAAAUAAAUUUUCUCUUUCCAAGAAUAGAGUAAAUGAAUGUUAAAAAAGGAAAUCAAAGGCCCAAAAACUCAAGAGGAGCAAUCCAACAAGCAAAAAAACCCUAGUCAAUCUAAAACCCUAGCCGGAAAUGGGCCAUUUUUCCACCGCCGGCAACGGCGACUAUCAGCCACCGACAACUCCCAAGCUCCCGAUACCGGGAAAACGGAAUAUCCUCAUUACAAGCGCUUUGCCAUACGUCAACAACGUUCCUCACCUCGGAAACAUCAUCG